rnacentral:rRNA from 1 species
UACGUAGGGACCGAGCGUUGUCCGGAAUCAUUGGGCGUAAAGAGCGUGUAGGCGGCCCUUUAAGUCCUGCGUGAAAUCCUGCGGCUCAACCGCAGACGGUCGUGGGAAACUGGAGGGCUAGAGUGCGGGAGAGGAGAGUGGAAUUGCAGGUGUAGCGGUGAAAUGCGUAGAUAUUGGGAGGAACACCAGUGGCGAAGGCGGCUCACUGGACCGGAACUGACGCUGAGGCGCGAAAGCGUGGGGAGCAAACAGG